GUACACAAAAAUGCACAUAUUGUGAGCUCGAUGAGUAGGGCGGGACACGUGGUAUCCUGUCUGAAUAUGGGGGGACCAUCCUCCAAGGCUAAAUACUCCUGACUGACCGAUAGUGAACCAGUACCGUGAGGGAAAGGCGAAAAGAACCCCGGCGAGGGGAGUGAAAAAGAACCUGAAACCGUGUACGUACAAGCAGUGGGAGCCUCUUAAUGGGGUGACUGCGUACCUUUUGUAUAAUGGGUCAGCGACUUAUAUUCUGUAGCAAGGUUAACCGAAUAGGGGAGCCGAAGGGAAACCGAGUCUUAACUGGGCGUUAAGUUGCAGGGUAUAGACCCGAAACCCGGUGAUCUAGCCAUGGGCAGGUUGAAGGUUGGGUAACACUAACUGGAGGACCGAACCGACUAAUGUUGAAAAAUUAGCGGAUGACUUGUGGCUGGGGGUGAAAGGCCAAUCAAACCGGGAGAUAGCUGGUUCUCCCCGAAAGCUAUUUAGGUAGCGCCUCGUGAAUUCAUCUCCGGGGGUAGAGCACUGUUUCGGCAAGGGGGUCAUCCCGACUUACCAACCCGAUGCAAACUGCGAAUACCGGAGAAUGUUAUCACGGGAGACACACGGCGGGUGCUAACGUCCGUCGUGAAGAGGGAAACAACCCAGACCGCCAGCUAAGGUCCCAAAGUCAUGGUUAAGUGGGAAACGAUGUGGGAAGGCCCAGACAGCCAGGAUGUUGGCUUAGAAGCAGCCAUCAUUUAAAGAAAGCGUAAUAGCUCACUGGUCGAGUCGGCCUGCGCGGAAGAUGUAACGGGGCUAAACCAUGCACCGAAGCUGCGGCAGCGACACUAUGUGUUGUUGGGUAGGGGAGCGUUCUGUAAGCCUGUGAAGGUGGCCUGUGAGGGUUGCUGGAGGUAUCAGAAGUGCGAAUGCUGACAUAAGUAACGAUAAAGCGGGUGAAAAGCCCGCUCGCCGGAAGACCAAGGGUUCCUGUCCAACGUUAAUCGGGGCAGGGUGAGUCGACCCCUAAGGCGAGGCCGAAAGGCGUAGUCGAUGGGAAACAGGUUAAUAUUCCUGUACUUGGUGUUACUGCGAAGGGGGGACGGAGAAGGCUAUGUUGGCCGGGCGACGGUUGUCCCGGUUUAAGCGUGUAGGCUGGUUUUCCAGGCAAAUCCGGAAAACCAAGGC
rnacentral:rRNA from 1 species